ensembl:lncRNA
AUGUUUUUCAAAAAUGUACAUCUUCCAAAGUGUCACUUGAUUUCCCAAAACCCACUAAUCGCAACUACCCCUUUAGGUACAAUUGCUUCCUAUGUUUCAGUUUCUCUUCCUGACUUAGAAGACAUGUUUACAAGAUACACUUGGUCGGCUACAGAUGUUCAUUGGCAACUUCCCUGUGCUAGUUGCUCUGCUAAGCACAGUAACAAUGAAAGAGGUAAUUUUUUUAUUUUUUAUUUUAGAUUUGCUCUGGAAAUGAAAAGUGAAGCAGACAGCAGGUCUCCAUGUUUCCCCAGCAGUGGCACAGCGGCAACGGUGGAUGUUCUCUGCACAAAUCAGCUGGUACUGGAUGGUUUCUUCCUGGAAAAAUAAAUGGAACAUAAACUGAUGGAGUGUGGUAUCACUGAUUUAAGGAGAAGCUGGAGCAGAUGAUGAUGAAGCGAGGUCCUGAGCACCCCUUUCCCAGUGGAGGUACCAGGACAGGAGACUCACAAUCAUCUCCCAUCAUCACUUCCACCCCUGAGGGAUUAGGGGCACGCCUGUAUCAUGGUCACAAGCAUGAAUGAAGCUUGUGCAGACGUAUCUGGGUUUACUUCAGAAGCACAGGCUUGGCCUUCAAGAGUUCCUGCUCAUGUGUUCAGUGUUCAUACAGUAUGUAGUACAAUAGCAUCCAUCACUAUGUCUCCCAGGUGCUGCUGCAAUACAGAUGUCAGCCACCUUUCCUUUUGCCUGGGCACCUUUAUCAGUGCCACUGAAGGGAAGGAACACUGUGUGGGCUGUAAAUUCCUCGCCAAAGACCAUGUAAAUACUUGGACAGUUAGUUCAUGCUGGUCCCUGAGCUGCCGCUGCGAAGUAUUAAACUAACUAGUUAAAGAUGGUUUGCAUGCAUUUGCAGCUACAGCGGAAGUCGAAUGAUAAAUAUUCCCAACCUACUUGCAAAUAGUGGCAAAUUCUGAAUAAAUGUAUGAAAUGCAGUAUUCAAAUUCUUCUCUUUUUCCUUUAAGAAAAAAAAAAAAAGACAAAUUUUGCUUUAUGGCACAGGUCAGUUUCUCUUUUAUAACCUUUUGAAUUUUGUACUGCCUUACACGUACAAUAGGACUUUAAAUCUACAGUAAACAUUCAAGGAUUAUUUUAGCACAGUCUGUGUGAAGUUGCUGACACCUUUCUAUCCUACCCUCCAGUGCAGGGGCACCGAGUGGUGGUUAUAUACUGUGCCUCACUGUGCCUGUACGUCAGUGAUCGCUGGUUAACAAAUAGCCACCUAACUAUAGGAUGUUGUGUAAAAACCUAACAAACAAAAUCCCCAAAGAAACAAACAAACCCACAUGCCCUUCAUCAUGCUGUAAAAGAUGAUAACAACUGGAAUUGCAAAUAGUAAUGAUCCCAUCCGUGUAAAAACCCCCAAAGGAGAGAGAGCAUUCUUGGAAACGCUGCCAUCUCAAAAGACAGAGCACAGGGGCUGAUCUUGUUCAGAGGAGAGUCUCCCCUCAGUGGUGGCCUUACUUGUACUUGGAAUCAUUCAUCUUGGACUUAAAAUCCAAUAAAAUUGGCUUCUGCCCAGCCUGGCGGGGAUGGCUGUCGUUCUCAAGGUCAGCUCUGGGGUGGGUCAGCAGGCUGAUCCCUCCGUUCCCCUUUGCCGUCCACCUCCCCAAAUGCUGUGAGCAGCUUUGUGUGGCUGCGGAGGAGGAGGAGGUGCCCAGGCAGAGCUGGGAAGGAGCCGGCCAGUUCUGGGGGCUGAAGCUCAGCGACUUGAAUCUGCUUCAGCUGCCUUGACAUCUCCAGAAGAUAGACAAAAAUGGGUAUUUAUCCAAAGAAAGGGGAUAAAAGGACAUCCAUGGGUUUCUAUCCAUACCAACUGGAUGUGAUUUACUCACGUCCCCAAAGAGGUGAUGUUGUGGUUCCCUGCCAGGGCAGAACGGCCUCUCCUGAGUUUAACUGGGGGUGGGAGAUAGCUGGUGUCAUGAAUAAAAAGCCAUGCAGCUAACUCAAGUGCAAGCCUUUCAAAGCGUGAGUAUCUUUAAAAAUGAGGGUUAGCAAAUAAACACAGCUCACAGGAAUGCUGAAUUUCUUCCCUUGGCAUUUUACUAUUUGUCCUGACCAUUUCAAUUUAUCCCUUAAAAGAAAUGGAGAGACUCAGCAAGGUAGAAGCUCUGUAUUUCUAAGGCAAAAUACUUUCCUAAAGGAUUUUAGCAUAGUGUUUAGCUGUAGCUCUCCGAAAGCAUAUUAUGCUUAGCUGUCAUAUUUUGAGUUGCAGCCUUUUCAUAUUGCUGAAACAUCAAUACUGUAUGUACUGCAUUUAAUGUAUAUAGUUAACUCUUGGUUUCCUAGUGUAUGUAUGGGUUAGGAAACCUAUGUAAUGUAACAACACGAUCGGUGCAAACACAACACCCCCCAUUCCCACCAAGUGAUUAUGAAUCAAGCUGCACAAUGCAAACUGAGGAAUAACCAGAAAGGAAACGCAAAACGAAUGGCAGGUCUUGGUUCAUGUGUGUAUUCUAAAACACACCGAUCUGCUGUUGAGGUUAGAGAACAAGAAAGAUGGUGAGACUAAGAGAAUGUGAAAGUUGCUGAAACAUUUGAUGCUGUAUUUUUUUCUUAAUAUUUGCAUGAAAAAUGGGGGUUUCUAGUGACAAUAAUAUGUGUUCUCUAAUAAUUAUUGUCCUUAAUCUGUAUCUUAAUUAUUUUUUUCUGUUUUUUUCCCCCUCCCUAUUCAGAUGUGAGAAGUACUCUCAUUUCAGCUAGAAAAAAACAGCAUAAAGGACAGACUUGUACCCACCAUGAUAUAAACAAUCAGAAGCAUCUGCAUUAUACAAAUAUGUUGCUUACAGACACUGAAAAGGUGUUAAUGCAACACAGUCUUAAAUAUUAUCAAGAGAUUGUUGAGCGUAUUUGUUCAUAGUUCUCUAGCUUUUGUUAAUUCAUGCCCGUUUCUAACAAUCCCCGUAGCGUGAGUUAGGCCUUUGACAUCUGUUUGUAACGACUGAGAUUUGUUACACCAUUUGUUACACCGGUCAGAGCACAAUUAGAGCCCCUGGAACCCCAUCAGCUGAAGUUAAAUAUCGCUGUGAAUCACAGGUAUUGUGUCACCAGAUAACACAACAAAAAAUUAAUCAGUGAAACACUUUGCUUGAUACUGUUAUAGCUAAUAGGUCUGAAAUGAAAGAUAAUUGUGUAUUAAAAUAGAGUGGGUAGCUCCGUUUUGAUGUAGAGAUAUGAAGAUGUCAGGCAAGCUCCUCUGUAGCAGGAGGUGAUGGGUGCCCUGAAGUGAUUGAGGAGCCCAGGAGAGCAUUCCUUGCAUUCCUGCGGGACUUGCCCUAUCCCUGUAUCCCACAAAAAAAGGGAAUUGUAGCAAGCAAUUGAGUUGGGAGGCUGAGCUUCAGAAAAGCUGGCGCUCCCCUAGAAUGCCAGGCUUGAUUAAUUUGAAGAAAGGAUACUUUCUGGAUGAUGAAUGCAAGGCAUAUUACAAAGUGUUGUUUUUUUAGGGCAACAGACAUUACAUUUUCAAUCUGUUCGUUAAAGCAAAUAAAUAAUCCCCCGUGAGGACUACUAAUAAGCACAAUGUGGUCAGGAUGUGGAGCCCUCCCUAGUCUUUUCCCAUAGUCUGCCCAGAAUUGUUGGUAUUCGCUGCAAAAAUAUUUUGCUGACACAGAUGAGUGGGAUUGUCCCAAGAAGUUAUCUUUGUUAAUGAGCCAUAUCUAGAAAUUCGGUAGGUUUGGUAGGUGACUGCCUGAAGCCACAGGCUCUUCGAGAGCCAAGUGCGUGUAAAAGUGUUAUGAUUUUUUCUCCUGAGACCAGGAGUUUUGUAAGGGGGAAAAAUGGUUAUCCCUUUGACUUGUUACAAAUAAAAAAUUGCAGAGACUAAAAUAUAACUAACCGUUGUGAUUAAAAG